CUGGAAUGAUGCGAUUUAGCCAAAUCAGACAUUAAUGUGCUCCAUGAUGCAAUCCACAUUAUCGGUUUGGAUCGAGCCUCAUGUUGAAGCGCAUUUCUAUGAUGAUAAACAUGGAGAUUGGGUUUUUAUAUUCCUGACCAGA